rnacentral:rRNA from 1 species
CGGUGUGGAUAACACAUGCAAGUCGUGCGGGUGUAGCAACACUCCAGUGGCGGACGGGAGAGUAAUGUAUCGCUAACGUCCCCUGAUAUGUGGGAUAGCCAUCCGAAAGGAUGGGUAAUCACAGGUAACAUCCCCGGAAGACAUAUUGUGGUGCUCAUAGGGUCUCCGUUUAGGGAGCGGGCGAUAUCGUAUCAGCUAGUUGGCGGGGUAACGGCCCACCAAGGCGACGACGCGUAGCCGGACUGAGAGGUUGGCCGGCCACAUUGGGACUGAGACACUGCCCAGACUCCUACGGGGGGCUGCAGUAACGAAUCUUCGGCAAUGCACGCAAGUGUGACGGAGCGACGCCGCGUGAGGGCGAAGCCCUUCGGGGUGUAAACCACUGUCAGGGGAUG